UGGCUUAGUGGUAAAGCACUUAGCCUCCAAACUAAGGGGUCCAGGAUUCGAAUCUUG
rnacentral:tRNA from 1 species